CACUGUCAGAACCAUGAGCUGUCUGCUUCUUGUGUACGUGCUUUGCAGACAUCCCUGCUCCUCAGUGCUACCUGAUUUUUCUCAACCUUCUGCUUGUGUCAGCAUUUAUUGACUUUUUUGGUAAAUGCUGCACAGAAUGGAUGGAAGACUAUGAAGGCUGUGUUAAGGGAUGGCUUGUGUUAGGGACAGUGCUGGCCCCGCCAUCAGUGUAUGUUCAAAAGUUUAAAAAAUUAAUUUCCAUCAGAAGAAAAUGUACUUGACAUCUGGGUCCCUAGAAGAAUAUGUCUUACAAAACUCUAAAUUGAAUCUUAUGGACUCCAAAUAUUAUCAUCCAGUAGGAUCUCCAAAUGUAUUCACAGAAUAACUUCAAAAGAUGAAACUUGCCCCCACUGAGGAUAUUAAAUAGAAUAUGCUCUAUACUUUGAAGGCGAGCCAAAGAGUGAUUUUAAAGGAUUUUUGAGUACUGUGCAUUGUUACAACAAACCUAGUAUCUUCUCAAGUUAGAACACAAUUCUCAUUUGUCUUCAAGUUGUGUGCCUGACAGAUACACGAUUGAAUUGUGUGGCUGCCAACUGCAGCCAAUGCAUUGACUUAACAAAUGUCUCCAGACCAUUUCUGUGGGCUGGGCACAUGCAGUUGGGCCAGUGGUGCAUGCUUGCAACCCCAGCGCUGAGGAGACACAGGCAGGAGGACUGUGAGCUCAAGGCCAGCCAAGGCUUACCUGAGCUAUAUGGGAGGUCUUGCCUGGGACAGUAACAGAAAUCCUGAGGAAUUGGAAACUGGUGUGGCAUGCCACCCAUCUGAAGGGGAGGAGGAAUGAGGAGAGAGUGAAAGGAAGGACCUGAGAAGAUUUCUUGCGAAAAAAUACAAAACAGUGGAGGUCAUUUCUGGCCAGGGGGCUAUGCUGCUCUGCCCUGGCUUGUCU